AUGGAACACUUGUGGCAAAAAUCCAUCCAUGGUUCUUGAAUAAGCAUAGACUAACAGUGUGAAAGGGUCCUCCUCCCUCACACUCCACCACUUCCAACAGUUUGUUUAGGCUUAGCUAUUGGCUUCUCUAAUCACCAAGGGAUAUGCAUACAAAAAAACAUUCUCUUUGACUAACAGAAGCAUAUAAGCAUUAUUCUCCAUUGGAGCAAAGGCUUUCUUUGGCUAUAGCCUAGGCAAGCCGGCAAGUCAUCAUAAAAAGGCUUGGACUUCAUUAGGGGUCCU
rfam:Lupinus angustifolius cultivar Tanjil chromosome LG17, whole genome shotgun sequence.